rfam:Pelecanus crispus contig60567, whole genome shotgun sequence.
CUUUCAGGGGGUGAAAUAAAGUUAAACCAAAUUGUUUUGUUUUACCCUACUGAUGAUGUGUUGUUGCAAUAGCAAUCCUGCUCACUACAAGAGGAACCGCAGGUUCAGACCCCUGGUGCGUGCACUUGGUGGAGGAGCCACUGGCACGAGCCAACCAUCUGCGGGCUUAUGACUGAACGCCUCUAAGUCUGAAUCCCACCUAGACAUAGCGAUACCGCAGCACCACCGGGCCCAGUGUGGAGCGCCGCUCGUGGUCGGGACCAGAGGGGUGGACAGAUGUGGCGCCGCCUCUCCCCCGUCACAUACCGCAUGAUCGUGGGGCACCUGGCGCUAAAUCGUUUGUAGAUGACCUGAUUCUGGGUCAGGGUUUCAUAUGUAGCAGAGCAGCUCCCUCGCUGCAAUCUAUUGAGAAUCAGCCCUCGACACAAGCUUUU